UUUUUUUUUUUUUUUUCGUCCAUAGUUUCAGCAUGGAAGUUUCUGGGCCAGGAAUCGAACCCCAAGCCACAGCAGGAACAACCCCAAAUCCUUAACCACUGGGCCACCAGGGAACUCCAGAAAGGGACUCUUUUUGCCAAGAGAGCCAGCCUCUGGCUGGUGUUGGUGAUGCAAGCCGGUGGCCAGAGUGUGGCCGCCUGGAUCCAUGGCAGAGAGCCGGGGCCUGUCAUCUCCUGACCUCCCUCUGACUCUUGUCAUAAAAGGCAAAUUAAAAAGAAAAAAAAAAAUCUCUGAGCCAUCCUGCCACGCGGAGAAGUCUUUGAUACUAAGUCUGCCUCCUUAGCUGCUGCCCAAGUACAGCUUUGGCUACAUGCCCUCCGUUGUCUGUUUCACUGUGUAUGAAGCCGGGAGGUCAGCAGGCAUCACACCGCCCCCAGCCCCCAUCCACUUUGAAAAGUCGCCAUCUCCUUCUGCAGGAAAGUCCUCCCAAUUUCAUCCGUUUCUAGCAGCGCAGCAUUCUGGAGCUGGAAAACCUCACGAAAACGAGCUCCCUUACUGUACCGGUCACAGUGUCACAUCAGCGUGUCCGGCCAUCUCACCAGCAUCCCGUUGAUAACCAUCCCUCUCCCUGGUCAGGGGAGAGCUUGUGAUGGGCAACGUCUCAGUCUCAUGUUCCCCGGGGCUGCAUUCUUUCCUCUCCCCUGGGCACCGUGACCCCGCCUCCAAGGAUGCCUGAGCAGGUUCCCAACACACCACAGGAGGUGUGUUCCCCUGUGGUACCUGGAAAACACCAGUGAGGAAGGCAUCUUCCCAUCCCGGGUGCAGCUAGACUUUCUCUCUUAUUGGGGACGAUGAAUGCCUCUUUGGUGCCUUUCAGAGAGAACAGCCAGUAUAAGUCCGUGGAUUUCAAGGCAUUGGAGACCUGGGAUCUGCUCGCAUGGUCUACCUAGGUUGUGUAUUAAUAAGAUUCCCAGGUUGGAGGUCUCUGGUGGCUCAGCAGGUUAAGGAUCCGGCCUUGGUACUGCUGUGGCAAGGUUUGGAUCCCUGACCUGGGAAUUUCCACAUGCCACGGACUCAACCAAAAAAUAAAAAAGAAUUCCAGGUCGAUAUUUGGGUUCACUAGGAGGCGUGUGCAUUGGUCGAGAAGUCUGUUAUGAGUGAGGGGGACAAUAGUAAGACUUAAACGGCAGCCCCUGAACUUGGCAUAGAAACAGGCCAGCUGGUGCCCCCAGAAACACACACAUCCCCAAGGCUAAAGAGCUGCACCCUUAUUUCCAAAGAGGCGCCCUUCCUCUCCAUCCAGCAAGCAUGCUCCAGGUUCUCCCCACUUUGCAGGGCUGUUGAGAGGAGGGGUUUCCAGUGGAGAGGAGAAGCUUUUUGAACUUUUCAGUCCCCAGUAUGAAAAUACCAACCCAAUUACAGAGAUACUGACAGCCCCUGGGUCUUAGUCAAAACGUCCACAAACCCUACAGGCACCUCCUGCCCACAGUGUUCCAGCCACUGCUUGCGGAAGCCAGUGUCCAAAGCCAUUCCCCAACGAUUCUCCUUACCCUAUGCCCCUAAGCAUUUCUCCCUUUGGUGGCAGUUGAGGGUGGCGAUGUGGGGCGAGACAGAGUCUCUUUCCUUUCCCCUUGAUCUGGGCUGGCUGGUGACUUGGCUUUGACCAUGGCAUUCAGGUAAAGGAAUCUCGGACCUCCAGACCCAAGUCUUCAGAGGACUGUAGCAUCUGCUUCCCUUUCAGGGAGCCAGCAGGGAGAUAAGACGCCAGAGAGCCCAAGCCCAUGAGCUGGGACGAAGCUGAAGCAGAGGCCAUGUGGAGGGGGGCCGAGGCCCUGAACCUGGCAAUGAGAUCUUCUUGGUUUUCCACCAGCCCAGUUGUCAGCAGAAUGCAGCUGAUGGAUGACCCCAGAUGGCUCCUGGGAUCAGGAGAAGGGUCCAGCUGAGUCCCACCCAGUUUCCUGACCCAGAGAAUUGUCAUUUGGAGAUGCUAAGUUUUGGGGUGGCUUGUUACCCAGCAGGCAAUACAUUGAAACACUGUCUUCUGUGAUCUGAUUGUAUGUGGUCCAGUAUCGGUGAAGCCAUGGCUUCUCCAGUCAUCUUUCAAAGCCAGUCUGUCCCCUGAUGGCCACAUGAACUGCAAACCACUGAUAGACCUGCCCAAGUCCUUGGAACUGAAGGAAGCUCCCAGCCAUCCUGACAUUGAAUAGAAGGACCGGGAACGCAUUGGAAUGCUCCGUUGGAAAGGUCUCAUGGGUCCCUUCCAUUUCUUGUAAGCCUGAUGUGGUUUCAUUCCAUCCCCAUUUCUUUGGCUAACUUCACUACUGGGGCUCCCGUGUCACCUGAGGACCAGCCAGGUUCAGUUCCCUGCAGGUGAUUCCUAGCACAUCCCAGGGCCAUUGUCUUCACCCAUCUUCCCAGAAAGUCCCAUCAUCCCUGCCCCCUGAGUUCUGGAGUAGAAACUCUCUUCACCAAGUCAGCUGCCAGGUCAAGGAGACCUUGUCCUAAGGUUUGGCGUUCUGCCCACAGCCAUGGAGAUCUCGGUCCUCUAACCUGCUCUCCUGGGGACAUUCCCAGAGCUCUGAGUGUGCAGCUGGCCCUCAAGAGUGAGGCCCCAGACAGGUAAACCUCUGCAGUUGUCCAGCUGUUCAUACCUUAUGCAACAUUGAAAAGCCUGGGGAGAAGAAGGGAGCAAAAAAAAUAGUGCACUAGUAUGAACUCAAAAAUACUUAUUCUGAAAAAACCUAGUUUCUGGAGUUCCACUGUGGUGCAGCAGGUUAAGGGUCUGGCCUUGUCUCUGCCACACGGUAAGUUCCAUCCCUGGCCCAGUGUCGUGGGUUAAGGAUCUGGCAUUGCCACACCGGUGGCAGAGGUUGCAGCUGUGGCUUGGAUCCAGUCCCUGGCCUGGGGAAAUUCCAUAUGCUAUGGGUGUGGCCAAAAAAGAAAAGAUAAAUAAAUUAUUAUUUUUUUUAAAAAAAAAAGGACUUCUCUUUGUGGUUCAGCGGAUUAAGAACCCGACAUAGUCUCAGUGAAUAUUCAGGUUUUAUCCCUAGCCUUUCUCAGUGGGUUGGGGAUCUGGUGUUGCUGCAAGCUGUGGCGUAAGUCACAGAUGUGGCUCAGAUCCCCAGUUGUUGUGGCUGUGGUGUAAGCUGGCAGCUGCAGCUCCAGUUCGACCCCUAGCUGGGGAACUUCCAUAUGCUUCAGGUGCAGUCUUAAAAAAUAAAUAAAAAUUAAAAACCUAGUUUCCAUCGAUAAGAGACUGGUUAUAUAAACCACAGUAUUAUCACACAAUGGAAUAUUAACACCUGUAAAAAAAUUGAGGAAGUUUUAAAAACAUAUUGCUAUGGAAAGUUAGCCAAUGUAUGCUGUUCUGUGAAAAAAAGACAUUUCAAAACAUGUACAAACGGUGCUUCCUUUUUGUCGAAUGGUGAGAGACAACAAGAACGUAUAUUUACAUGUGUUUGCAUUUGCAUAAAGAAACAUGGAGAGCGUACACAUGAAAUUAAUAACAAUGGUUUCUCCUGGCAGAGGAGAGAGGAAAGGGUGGAUUGGUGACACGGUGAAUUGAAAUUUACUAUAAGCUUCUUCACUGUUUUGAUUUUGGACCAUGUGAAUUGCAUUACCUAAUCCAAAAAAAUGUGGGGGAGAAAAGGAUACGUACUUUGCCUAAUUUGAUUAAGAAAAGCACAAAAAGAAAAACCAGGAUCAGAAGCUUUGGAUGGAACCAUGCCUAUUUAAGUUGCCAGGAAUAACCCCAGGAUUUACAAAGGGCUUGAAAAUCUUAGGCAGGAGGUGAGGCGAAGGCAAUGCUUUAUCGUAGUUCCCAACAAUCUGAAGCCACAUUGCUGCCUCUGGGGCAAGUUGGGAGAAACCGGCUCCCACACCUGAAGGAUGUGUUAGACUGAGAAUUGCUAGGAUGAGUUUCCAUCUAGACUCAGGAAAUCUCACAGUCUAAAUCUGUGUGAGUCUCGACUUACCUUCCAGACCCAUGAUUCCAUGAGAGUUAUUCCAGUCCAGAUGUGCCUUGACAGCGAGAAAGAGGUCCUUUCUCCGACUGUAUCCUAACUGAAGGUGAAACCAGGUCUGAAGCUGAGCUCCGUGGGCCAGGGGGCUUGCGCCUUGGGUGUGAAACCGGGACAAGGUGAGGCGUUCCCGUCGUGGCACAUCGGAAACAAUCUGACUAGGAACCAUGAGGUUGAGGGUUCCAUCCCUGGCCUUGUUCAGUGGGUUAAUAUUCUGGCAUUGCCGUGAGCUGAGGUGUAGGUUGCAGAUGCGGCUCAGAUCCUGUGUUGCUGUGGCGGUGGUGUAGGCUGACAGCUGUAGCUCAGAUUGGACCCCUAGCCUGGGAACCUCCAUAUACCGCGGAUGUGGCCCCCCCAAAAAAAACAACCCACAAAAACCUGGUCAAGGUGAAAUAAAGUGUUCUCAUUACGUUAGCAUUCCUCUCCUUCUUUUAGAACUAGAUGAGAGAAAGGACAUACACACCCUACCCAUGACUGGUCCUACCUGUGGAAUGAGUGAAGGAAUGAAUGAAUGCCUUGUCGAAGAUCAGUGGAAUACACUUUCUUUGCAAUUUGCGUGGAAAAUCAUUUGCAAUAAGCCUUCACAUUAUUUUCUGAAGCAACGGAGGUUCCCGGCGGUUUCUAAUUAUGGGAGAAGGUGAUAUCCUGGCCAUACAUCUACUUCAGUGAUGGACAGUUGAGGUCAUAGUCCUUGACCCACAAAACCCCCUUGGCUGGACUUGGCAAGCCCACUCUGUGCUGGAAUGAACUUGAAUUCUACAUUAAUACCUUCUUAAUAACAUUCAGAAACUGUGGGGAUUGUCUUCUGGGAAAAGAAGAUGCUGCCUCCUUCCCUCUCCCCCUGGGGCCCUGACCCCUCUUUAUCUCCUGACAGGCACCAUAUCUAAUCACCGGAAUGAGGGGCAGCCCAGCAAGACCUGGGCGCUUUCCGGGUGGAGGGAGCAGGCAGUGACAAGCGCCGGGCCAGGACUGCAGGCUGCUCAAAUAUUUAAGGGUACAAAGAAGCAGCUGUCAAGCACUUGUGCAUUCGGGAGGGGGAGGGAGAGGGAGUCGGGCAUAAUUAGCCUGCGCUGUUUCCCCCAGAGGACUUCUCCCCUGGGGCCCCUUGUGCCGACUUACUGCAUGUAAAUCAGCACCAGAGGAGGUGGCUUCCCCGCAUUCCUUUCCUCCAAAACGCUGGGAACGAAGACUUUCUACUCCAGAGUAAUAAACCAGUGCUCCACGGACUUGGGGGACAGCCUUCACCCUGACUUUUUCUGAGCCUCAGUUCUUUCAUCUGAUAAAUGGGAGAGCUGACUUCACCAACUGGUCACUUUCAAACCCGAGAGUCUGGGUGCCAGGCCCUUGGGUCACAUCCGUGCCUGUUUUGAGCACCUCCCUGCAAACCGAUGAGCCACGUGGUACCCAGAAGCGUGCAAAUGGUGAAUCACUGGACAAACUUAACUCCGGAACGUCAGGUGUGUGUAAAGUCAGGUCAGACAUCAUGGGGCCGCGUGUGGUGUUGUGAACUAAAAUACUGCCAUCGAGCCAUCGCUACUGCAGCCACCUCCUCUGUAGUAUACCCUGGUGACUCAGGAUGGGAAAACGGAGGAUACUGGCCCUAGAGAGUAAGAUGCAUAUGAAAGGAAAGAUUUCAGUGAGUCCAGACUCUUGCAUCUUCCAUAUAUAGAAAAGCGCUAAAUUCCUUAACUUGAGAUGCCUGGUUUUCUUUAAUUAACAGUAAUCUUUUUCCUUUUUUUUUUUUUUUUUUUUUUUUUUUUUUUUUUUUUUUGGGGCCCCCCCCGNUUCCCAGUCUAGGAGUCGAAUUGGAGCUGCAGCUGCUGGCCCACGCCACAGCCACAGCAAUGCCGAAUCUGAGCCACAUCUGCAAACUACACUGCAGCUUGCAGCAACUCUGGAUCCGUAACCCACUGGGUAAGGCCAGGAAUCGAACCACGUCCUUACAGACACUGUGUAGCGUUCUUAACCCACUGAGCCACAGUGGAAACUCCAGCAGUCAUCUUUUGAUGUUCCAACAACCUGGUCUUUGUUGCAAAACCUCCUAGAUAUAUAUCCUGGCUCUCUCCUUGCCUCUUCAAAGCAGUCUUUCCAGAGCUUUCUGAGAUGCUUUGUCCCGGGCUUAAAGUCCUUAGAAUGUCUGCUGAAUAAGACAUAACCCUCAACCUCUAGGGUGUGCUUUUUUUUUUUUUUUUUUUUUAGUCUAGGUAACUGAGAUGGAAGUGUCAGACAGGAAAAGGGAGACAACUGCCUUAUCCAGAUAC
rnacentral:lncRNA from 1 species